GACAGAGGUGCCGAGCGUUAGGCGGAAUCACUGGGCUUAAAGCGUGUGUAGGCGGAUUUCUAAGUACCUUGUGAAAUCCCAUGGCUUAACCAUGGAACUGCUGGGUAUACUGGAUAUCUUGAGCCAACUAGGGGCUACCGGAACAAAUGGUGGAGCGGUGAAAUGCGUAGAUAUCAUUUGGAACGCCAAAGGUGAAAACAGGUAGCUGGGGUUGUGCUGACGCUGAGACGCGAAAGCUAGGGGAGCAAACGGG
rnacentral:rRNA from 1 species